AACGGGUGAGUAAUGUAUCGGAACGUGCCCAGUUGUGGGGGAUAACUGCUCGAAAGAGCAGCUAAUACCGCAUACGACCUGAGGGUGAAAGCGGGGGAUCGCAAGACCUCGCGCAAUUGGAGCGGCCGAUAUCAGAUUAGGUAGUUGGUGGGGUAAAGGCUCACCAAGCCGACGAUCUGUAGCUGGUCUGAGAGGACGACCAGCCACACUGGGACUGAGACACGGCCCAGACUCCUACGGGAGGCAGCAGUGGGGAAUUUUGGACAAUGGGCGCAAGCCUGAUCCAGCCAUGCCGCGUGCGGGAAGAAGGCCUUCGGGUUGUAAACCGCUUUUGUCAGGGAAGAAAAGGCUCCUGUUAAUACCGGGGGCUCAUGACGGUACCUGAAGAAUAAGCACCGGCUAACUACGUGCCAGCAGCCGCGGUAAUACGUAGGGUGCAAGCGUUAAUCGGAAUUACUGGGCGUAAAGCGUGCGCAGGCGGUUAUGUAAGA
rnacentral:rRNA from 1 species